ACACCGUUGGUGAAACGGUAUCAUGCGUCGUUGCCACUUGGACUCAACUCCAGAUUCGAUGCGGCAAGGGUUCGACUCCCUUACGGUGUA